AUAAAUUAAACUAUUUAAUAGUUCAAUUAAUUAAUAUUAGUAUAGUCCAUUUAAUAAAAUAAUGCAGUCCAUUUACUAAAAAAAAAAUCUGCACAAUCCAAGUAACAAGGCCCAGCUGUUUUAAUUAAAUAAACUGAGCCCAAGUUACUAAAUAAAAAUCGCAGCCCAAGUAAAUUAAUACAAGGGGCUGCCCAAACUCAAAUAAUCAGAGGCCCAUCUCUCAAUUUAAAAAAAAACCGGCCCGAGUUCAAGAUUUAAAACAAAGGCCCAACACUUCAAAGCCCAACUGAAACAAAAAUAAACAAAAAUCCCGGCCCAAUACUCGGCCCAAUUCGCAAACCCACCCCAAAGCCCAACACUCAAACCCUAUACCCCUUCUUUCUCCCUUUUCUCGUCUCUCUGCCUCACAACGCACACACACAUACCAGCUGCGCAGCAGCACCCCUUUUCCU
rnacentral:lncRNA from 1 species